AGGCAGCAGUCGGGAAUAUUGCACAAUGGAGGGAACUCUGAUGCAGUGACGCCGCGUAUAGGAAGAAGGUUUUCGGAUUGUAAACUAUUGUCAUGUGGGAAGAAAAUGACGGUACCACAAGAGGAAGCCCCGGCUAAAUAU
rnacentral:rRNA from 1 species